GAUGAAGAACGUAGUGAAAUGCGAUAAGUAGUGUGAAUUGCAGAAGUACCGUGAAUCAUCGAAUCUUUGAACGCAAAUUGCACUCUCUGGUAUUCCGGGGAGUAUGCCUGUUUGAGGGUCGCUUAACAAACCAUCGAUUUCGUUGCUUUUUUUUUUAAAGUGAUGUUUAUCGGAUUUGAGCCGUCUUUUUUUUUAUAUUUAAGUGGCUUAAAAUUGAUUUUUUUGGUACGAUCGAAGCGUAUUUUUAUGAUCAAUUUUUGGUUAAAGAAACGCACACGUACCGUUAUUUAUAUGAUGUAAUACGUUUGACUAUUGGAUUUAGUUCAUUCGUAUACGAUAUCUUUCAAUAUUUGACCUCAAAUCAGGUAAGAACACCCGCUGAACUUAAGCAUAUCAAUAAGCGGAGGA
rnacentral:misc_RNA from 1 species